rnacentral:lncRNA from 1 species
GAUAAAAGGUGUAAAAGAGAUUUAACAGUAAAAUGUCAACCUUUAACUUUCCUCAGUGCUUUUGUUGAAGAACUCCAUCAACCCUUUCCGAAUUUCCAAACCUGGAUUUUGUCAAUUCUUGGUAAAGACAUCUGCCAAUUUUUUUCCAGACCUGACAUCUGGUAAACUUCUUCUUCCUUUCUGCUUCUUUCACAGAGUGAAACUCUAUCAUAAUAUGCUUAUUUCUUAAUGGAACAUCAGAUUCUUGGCAAAUACUGAAUAUUGUUUGGCAUGACUUGCGACUGAUCUAAAUCCGCUAGCAAUUUUCUAAGCCAAAUGGCUUGGUUCACAAUAGCUGCAAUAGCCAUAAAGUCGGCUCCCACCAUUGAUUGUGCAACAGUUUACUUCUUCCUUGAUUUCCACCUGAACAGACCUGAUCAGGUUAAAACAUAAACUGAAAUGCUCUUGAAAUCAUCCACAGACUAAGCUCAACCAUUGUUUGAACUGAAGAAAUCUCACUUCAGGACUCCUUUCAAACUUGAUGCAAUAAUUAGCAGUUCCCUUAAGACAUUGUUCAUGUGGGUUUAAUAAUUCAACUGUCAAGUUUAAACACAAAAUACAGAUUUCAGAUUUCUGGUAUAUGAUUUGUAAGGAAGAUCUCCACUUGACUUUUUUAGAUGGGCGUGAAAAUCCAUUUUGAGGCAUCUUGGUCAGUAGAUAAAUCUUGUACAUAUUAAAGGGAUAAAUAUAGUAUUGUUUAUCCCUUUAAAUCAUAAAAAUCUUGCUAUUUAUGAUUUUUUUUCUGAGGAAGGAUAUUAAAAGAGUUUGACAUACAUGAUAGCUACAAAAUAAAAGGAUUACUUCCCUAUGUUACAUAUGACUACAACUGCUAAGCAAAUUUUGUUAUCAAAUGAUGUUGAAUCUGCAGUUAAUGAACAUGGUUAUAAUCAUAUGCAAACGACCAGCACCUUCCCGCCUGCAACUUUAGCAGCUCCUGUGCUCUUACAAGCACAGGCACACUAUUGAUUCUAAGUUCAAGUCCAGGUAGGAUGUUUGGAGAUGGGACUUAAGGGUAGCUUAAGAGAUUUCAAUUUUCCUAUCUAAAAGGAACCAUGAAAACUAGCUUCCUAAACAAAAUUAGAAGGAAAUUAUUAAACUCAAGGGUAAGAUAGGAUUCAUUAGGUUACAAAGUAAUGAAUCAAAAUAAUAGGCUUCAUGCAUUGGCUAUUCCUUUUUUGGUUAAUAUUCUUAAGCAUAUGGUGAGCUUUUGCAUUGAUCUCUUCCACUAACCAUCAACAGAAAUAUGCUGACAGCAGAAUAAUAUCUAUUAAAAAUUAUUUGCCCCAUAGGAUCAGAUUCCAUAAGCAAUAUACCAACUGAAAAGGCGCCAAACAGUGGAGGGAGAAGCUUCUUUGGCAUGUGUGCCCAAAGUUCUGACCUGUGGUCCCAGAUGAGAAUGUUUAGUACGGGUUGGAGGUUGAUGUUUUUGAGCAAGUUUUUGGGAUAAUCAGAGUUGUAUCCGUUAAUGUGAGCUUCAACUCUGUUUCCUGAGUCAUACCUAACGUAGAUGAAGUCAGCUUCACGCGACUUUAACAUGUUAUGUUUGCAUAGGAUAGUUGCAAUCACUUUUGGCCAAAAGGCAAAUAGAUAAAGGCACCACAAAAAAAAGAUGUACGUGUGGUUCAGUGGUUCCACUUCACAUGGAUAUGGUAAACCACUACUACAUUAUUUGUGUUGGGUAUUUGGUUCUCUCCCAAUUUCCAUGUAAUAUUUCCUUUCAUCUGGUUUAGUGGUUCUACUACAUUAUCUUGAAGUGUAGGCAUUAUACCCAAAAAUAAACUAAAUGAGUGAAUCUACGCCAUUGAUAAAAAAAGGAAAAGAAAACCAGGGAAGAAAGUAAAAUAUAGAGAGAAAAAAAACAACAGAUAGAGGAGGGAGGGAGAGAGGAAACAGCAGCUUCAUGAAUACAAUUGUUUCCCGCCAAGUGCAUAGUAGAAAAAAGGUAAGCAUUUAAUCUUUGCUCUGUUGACAUAAGGGUCAAGAGAAAGAACAAGAGGCCCAAGAGGAAAUAAAGGCGAUGCUUUGUGGUUGGAACUUUAUUCAAAAUGUAUGCGCUUUUGACAAAAAGGAGAGGGCCAUGUUUUGGAGGUGGAAUCAUGUGCCCUGCAGUGGCAUCUCACCUAUGUUCUCUGACUAUGUGGCUCCUCCAUAAUUCCAUUUUACUCCAGCUACAGCACCCAAGACAAAAAAUUUUUGGUACCACUUCCGCACUUGCUAGGAAAAAUUUUUCAUACCAUUUUUUGUGAUUAAUUGACUAUCUCAUCUUCCCUAAAAGAAAAUUUAACCAUAUCUUCCACUCACUUGACUCUGGAGAUGGAACCAAGUUCUUCUGGAAUUAUCAUACACAUCAGAACAUUAAAACUUACUAGAACCCAACAAAACUAUAAUGAUUGAAGGGGUUUUUUUUUUUAUGAAAUAAAAGGGCAAAUCAGAAUUACAUGAAAGAAACCUUGUCCCAUUAAACUAUUGGGGCAGGGAGGGAAUUUUAACUAACAUCUCAUGCCAAAGGAGAAAAAAAGAAGCUAAAAACUAAAUCAUGGACUCUCAAGUCAAACUUUCUGAUGGAGAAGCUCAACAAGACAAAUGGCAGAUUUGAUUGGAACAAAAUGAGACUAACAUGAAAGAAUAAUAAUACUAACAAAGUAAAACAAAGAAUAAUAAGUUACCAGUAGAAAUAAGGAAAGAAUAAUAAAAUAGUAAGUAAUAUAAUUAAACAAUGAAGGGAGAAUGAGAGGGCAUAAUGGGCCUGUAAAGGACGGAAGCCAAAAAGUGGAGAUGAAACCUUGGCGAGAGAGAAUGGAAUCAAAUCUCCCACUAUCUCAGCAACCAUGAACACUCCACCCAUCACAAAAACAUUCUCUUCUUUCUUUCUCUCUCCUACAUGAUCUGAAAUCACCACUAAAGCAAGAUUAAGGUUAAACAUGAAAUCAGAUAAGCUCAGGUAAGAUAACAACAACCAAAAACAUUUAAAAAAAAUGGAAAAAAGAGGAAUUUACCUACUGUUACUAUAUGCCAAGGCUAAAUUAAUUCAAAAAAGCUUACCUCAAAAGCAUAUCUCCGCUAUCAACGCGACGCUCUUCUUCUCUCUUUUCUGAGCGUGUUCAAAGAACCCAUAU